CUAUUUAUGACUCUUGUCUUUUGCAAAUAAAAGAUGAUUCUGUUUAAAGCCACUCCAUGGAUGUUUUAGGGAUUUGGGAAAUGUAGUAGAAGCAAUAAUAAUCAUUUGUAUAGUACUUUAAAGUUUGCAAAGCACAUUACAAAAAUUUCACUUCAGAACAACCCUGAGAGGUUGGUGCUAUUAUCCUAUUAUUAUGCUAUUAUUUUGUAGAUGCUAAAUGACUGACUUAGAAGCAACUUAGUUUCUAAGGCUGGAUUUAAACUCAUGCUUUCCAAAUCCAGACUCAGCAUUUUAUCCAUAUGUGUAUAAUUUAAGUUGUCCUAGUCCAGUCAUAUCGAAACUAAAUGGCAUUGAUCAUUUGAACUGUAAAAAACAAGAUUUCCAAAUGAAUUUAAUUUCAUGACAAUGCAUGGUAGUUUAUCCAGGAUACCCCGUUUGAUUAAAUAUUUAGGUAAACUGAGAAUAGCCAUAAAUCAUGGCCAGUUUAAAAAGAAUUAGACUAUAAAAGCUUACACUUUGUCAUUCUGAUAACUGAGGAGGCAUUUCAGGUGCUUUGGUAGAACUGGGACUCUGGGUGAGUUUUAAUAGCACUCCAAAGCUUUGAACUCUCUCACUCUAGCACAUAAUACUGGACUGAUUACUGGGUGAUCACAUAGGACUGUUGUGGAGAAGAUUCUAUUUAAGCAUUGAUUGUACUAAUUGGACUCUGAGGUCCUUUACAACUAUGAUUCUUUGUGAAGACCUGUUUAGAUUUGGGGGCCACUUAGAAUACCAUUUAUACAAAUUGUUAACAGCAUCUUAAUAUGUUAAGUGCUUAGAAUGUGAUGUUUGUCAUGUGCUUAGCAUAGUGCCAGGUACUCUGAAGGAGCUUAAUAAGUGCUUUCCCCUCUUUACCUCCUAUAAUGUUCUGGAUGCCAGGAAUACAAAAGUAAAAUUGACACAACCCCUGCCCUCAAAGAUCUUACAUUCUUUUGGGGAAAUAUUUACACACAAAGGCAUAUACAAAAGCUACUUUUCCAAAGCGCUUAUUAGCCAUUAAAAAGGGUUCAAAAGUCGUAUGAACUUGUCAUCUAAAGGCUUUUUGCUGAACUUUGAAUUCUUGUUGCACAUUCUGAUGUCAUGAUGUAAUGGGAGAAGCUCAGGCUUGGGAGGCAAAAGAAACAGCUCUCUCUAUACAUUGAAGGAAGGGAUUGCAUUAUAUGGUUAGUAAAGUCCCUUUCCCUAGUUCUAACCUAAUUCCAUUAUGAUCAUAAUGGCCUGGCUCAGUGACUAACAUUUUUAGUGACCUUGGAGAAGUUACUUUAACCCUUUUAGUCCAAAUAGGCAUUGAGUAGGGACUUAAUUAUGUGCCAGAAACUGCUAAGUACUAAGAAUAAAAAAACAAAAUUCAGAUUGUCUUUGCUCUCAAAGAGCUUCUCCCUUUGUAGCUCUAACAUUCCAUGGUUUAUAAUUUCAUUUGUUUCUUCCCUCCUCCGACCCAUGCUGAUGGCUAUCCCUCCACACCUUAAUAGGUGAUUUCAUGAAUUGUUAUAUGGAGGGAAAAAUAACAUGAGGGCUUUUCUUCUGGUGAUAAGUCUGAACUUAGCUAGACUGAUUUUCAGACAACAGAUAUAUGAAGUACAUCACUGGGUCCAUGUUAGAAACCCUUUUCUGGUUGGCAGGACCUUAUAGGACUUGUUUACUUUGGUCAAACUUAACAUUUGAGGUUACCCGAGAAUUGCAAUAGGGUAUUAGGGUAUUAGACCUAACAUCAGAUUUUAAUUGAUCACCAAAUCAAUACCUACAUGGCUCAGGAUUUCAUUAUAUUAAAGAUUUGUUUAUUAAAAGGAAAUCAAAAUGUGUUUCUUUUUGUGGUGUUCUUCAGUUGUCGUGCUCUGAGGAGUUAUUUACCUUGCCUACCCCUAGCUCUAGAUCAGCUUCAGGGUCCCCAUGCAUCUGAAUUAUUAUUAUAUAAUCCUGGGAGGAGAAAGUAUUCUGUUUGUUGACAGAAAUUUGUUUGGAUUCUAGAUAAAUGGGAGGUUUAAAAAUUUCAUAUUCAUCUAUAUUUCUAUGUGUAUGUAUAUGUCAUGUGUAUGUGUAUAUAUAUACAAACACACACAAAACAUACAUAUACACACAUCUACACAUAUGCAUGCACACAUGUGUAUACAUAUAUAUGUAUUUACAUAUAUGUGCAUACAUUAAGCAAUUGUGUUAGAUCUCAGCUAUCACCUUUGCCAAAUGCUCAUCAAUCAUCUUCCUUAGCAGUAGUGAUUUGUGAUAAUGCUAAUUAUGGAAUGUUUAAUGCCUCCCAGCCUGGCUCCAUGAUUUAUUUUAUAUGAGUAGUACUUCUCCUGACACAGACUGCAGCUCUCUAAGCAUUCAAUAAAUGGUCUUUGAGAGUUACUGGACCAGAAGGAUUUAUCACUCUGUAAGUUGUCAUUGGACCUGUACUCAAAGCCUUUGCAGCUUGCUCAAGUAUCUUCCCUGCUUGUACUUAGCUGGUGGGCCUUAAGGUCUCAGAUUUUCCUGAGACUUCUAUAUUGAGAUGAAUCAUUAAUUUAAGACUUUAGAGGAGGGAAGGCAAAAAUAAAGGAAAGCCAGAGAUAAUCUCUAAACCAACCUAUCUUCAGAACUGUAAUAAGUAGUCAACAAUUCUCUUCAUAGGAAUACCAAAAGCAAUCUCUAGUUAGCUGCUUUCACCACAAUACUCAUUAGCUAUGGAUAAAGAACACUUAUGUACAUAAUAUCAAUAUACCACCUAGCAGGGGUCCUCAAACUAUGGUCCACGGGCCAGAUGCGGCAUCUGAGGAUGUUUAUCCCCCUCACUCAGGGCUAUGAAGUUUCUUUAUUUAAAGGCCCACAAAACAAAGUUUUUGUUUUUACUAUAGUCCUGCCCUCCAACAGUCUGAGGGACAGUGAACUGGCCCCCUAUUUAAAAAGUUUGAGGACCCCUGUUAUAGUAUGGUCUUUUUCAUUUUUAGUUUAGUUUUGUUUGUUUGCUUGUUUGUUUUGGAGGCAACUAGGGUUAAGUGACUUGCCCAGAGUCAAAUACUAGUAAGAUUGUGAGAUUGGAGUUGAAAUCAGGUCCUCCUGACUCCAGGGACUAACUGCCCCUAAUAUGGUCUUUUCUAUGGACCCUCAUGCCUUACUUACACCUUUAAUUCUAAGACUGGUAUAUAUUCACCCUUAACUGCCUCAUAUAGAGAGAACUCUUAUAUUCAAUGUACCUAUUCUUAAAAUUAAGCAUAUUUCAUAGCAAUACACACAUUCUGGGCAAUUUAGGGAUAGGGAUCAUACUUGUGGUGUUAUUGAUGUGGGGAACUCUCCAGUGCUUCCAUUAAUGUAGUCUGGUACUCUUCUCCACACCUUAAACUUGUCUUACUUCACAGAGUCAACAUAAAUGUGUAAAAGAGGGAACUUGGACCCAAUUUUUUUCUGGUCUAAGGCCCAUUUUUUAUGUUGCAGCAAAUAAAGCAGCAGCUAAAACACUCCAUUUUCAGACACACACAUGUGUGUGUACAUAUAUUAUACAAACAUAUGCAUGCAUAUAUGUAUGUGUGCACAUAUAUUAUACAUAUCUAUAUUAUGUAUAUGUAUAUCUACAUAUAUUGUUGUUUUAUCAUUCAGUCAUGUCUGACUCUGUGGCCCCAUGGACACUGGAUGUGAGAUAUUGGAGUAAUUUCCUAUUUCUUUCUCCUCAUUUUACAGAUGAGGAACUGAGGCAAAUAGGAUGUAAGUGAUUUGCCCAGGAUCACACAGUUAGUCUCUGAAGCUGAAUUUCAAUUCAGAUCUUCUUGACUACAGGCUUGGUGCUCUAGCCAUUGUACCACCUAGCUGCCAUUUAUAUAUACAUAUGUACAUGUACAUAAAAAUAUAUAUUUACAAUAUAUCUUGGUGUAUGUAUAUAUGUAUAUUUAGAGAGACAUAUAUAGCCUUUUCAAUUUGAAAGUGAAGUUCUGAUUCGAUACUUUGUGAUUAGUAAGAGGAAGUAUUUUAAUUUCCACUUUAUAGAUGAAAAUUGAGGCUCAAAGAGAUUUGAUUUGCUUAAGAUAACAUAGUACAUAAAUAAGAAGCUAUACCCAUACUUUGUUUUAUCAUAAGUGAUAAUUGAAGCCUCUUUUAUUACCUUAUGUUCACCUCUGCAUGUUGGAAACUUAUCUUUUUUUUUUUUUUAAAGUGUUUGGAUAUCAGUGUAACACUCACAAAGUCUAUCUGUUAUUCUUUCUGUUUCAUCAUAUGACUAAAAUAGUCAUUCAACAAGCAUUUAUUAAACUCUUCUUGUACACCAGGUAUAUUUUUACACCAGGUCCAUCUUAUUUUAUGAUCACUUACAUUCAUUUAUUUGUCCCUACCAGUGACAAUAUACCAUAACCUACUUAUCUCUACCAUAUACUUUUCCAUUACCCUUUAUGUCACCCAGAGUUUUGAUUCUAUUGAGAUCACAACAUUAUGUAAUUAAUCAUGACACUUGAUUUUAAAAAGUGAGCUUCUGUGGCAGAGAAUAUCUGAAGAUACUCAAUACUGAAUACUUUUCCAAGUGCAAUUUCUCUUUUUCAGUUUUAGAUCCAACUUACUGUCCACCAGAAAGAGCUAUCCAAAUCAACUGAUGAAAGAAGGUGGGAGGGAAGGAAGGAAAGAGAAAAAAAGAAAGAGAAAGAUCCUUGUAACAAUUAUGCAUAGUUAAGCAACAUGAACUCCACCAUUUGUCAUGUCCAAAAUAUGUGCCUCAUUCUGCAUGUUGAGCCCAUCACCAUGUUGAAAGGAUAAAGACACAAAGGACCAACAGAGAUGGAGAAGAAAGAGGGCUGGGCAGGAAAAGAGAGCAGGUUGGAAAUGUAUGCUUCUUUGUAUCACUCAGUGCUUAGCAUAAUGCCUAUCACCUGCAAAGCACAUUUUAAAAAUCCCAUCUACUUUGUCUCCCCAGCAUUGAGUAUAGUGUCUCUGCUUAGUCAAUGUUCAUUUAUUCUUUUCCAGGGGAGAAAGAAGACUGAGCAGUGACCCUAGAGACAGAGACCUAGAUUUUAAUUCUAGCUUUUCUCCUUCCUAUCUAUAUGACCCAAGAAUUAUUACAACUCAAUUUCUUUAAAAUGAAAAGUGAUAUUAGAUGAUCUUUAAGUGCUGGUAAUGAUUAAACACAAGUUUUCCAAAACAGAACACCACACUUUCAAAUAUAAUCUAUGUUAUUAACAUUUCCCCCCACACUUUCUUAAGCCUAGACAAUCAACUAAACAAUAAAUCAAGGCUAAUUUGUAGUGUUUAUCUAUUUCAAGGGUAUAAAUGCCUCAAGUGAAAAUUUUACAAAAGGUUUUUUUAAAAAGUGAGCUGUUUUUAGCAAACCUUUGGGAGUCAGUGAUUCUCACUAAAUAGAACUUUAAGGAACCAGCACAGGUCCUGAAGUGCCAGUUGGAGCAGGAGGGACGG
rnacentral:lncRNA from 1 species